CUUCGCCCCGGGAUUGUUCUGCAGCAGCAUGUUGCCCGCGGCAUGCAUCAGGUGGGUCUUGCCCAGGCCGGUCCCGCCAUA
rnacentral:antisense_RNA from 1 species